rnacentral:tRNA from 1 species
GGCCGGUUAGCCCAGUUGAGUGUGGCGCUGACAACGCCAAGGUCGCGGGUUCGAUUCCCGUUCGGUCC